rnacentral:rRNA from 3 species
AACAUGACUCUCGGCAACGGAUAUCUCGGCUCUCGCAUCGAUGAAGAACGUAGCAAAAUGCGAUACCUGGUGUGAAUUGCAGAAUCCCGUGAACCAUCGAGUUUUUGAACGCAAGUUGCGCCCGAGGCCUUCUGGCCGAGGGCACGUCUGCCUGGGCGUCACG